rnacentral:rRNA from 1 species
GUUUGAUAACUUUCUGGAAUUUUCUGUUACUUUUUGGAGGAUAUCCAAUCCUGUCACAACUUUCAGCGAUGGAUGCCUCGGCUCGAGUAACGAUGAAGGACGCAGCGAAAUGCGAUAAGCGCCGUGAAUGGCAGAAUUCCGAGAAUCAAGAGAAUGCUGAACGCAUACUGCACUUCCGGGUUAUUCCUGGGAGUAUGUCUACUUCAGGACGAUAACGUCUAAAUGCAUCCAAUUGAGAUUGUAGAGGUUUCUCCUCUCGACUCGUGGAAUGCGUCGUUGUGUGUCAGUGUCGAGGACUUGCGGGUCCCAUUGACGCAUGAAAUGAAGAGUUCUUUGAAAUCCUAUAUAAGCUUUCGCUUAGCAGCUCUGCUUUCCAGCGACAAGUUUUCUGGGUUUUGAUGGCUACUGAGGCUCAUUCGAGAUUGACUUCUCAAUUUGUUGCUUCUCGUAUGAAGUUAGACAAGGCUACCCGCUGAAUUUAAGCAUAUCAAUAAGCGGAGGAA